GCCUGUGAUGAUAGUUAAAUUCAACAGAAGAAAAUGCAAGUUAUAUAUUUGCAGUUCGAUGUUGAAAAACAACCACUUGACUAGGACGGUCUGAGGC
rfam:Daucus carota subsp. sativus cultivar DH1 chromosome 5, whole genome shotgun sequence.